CCGGCGACCGGCGCACGGGUGAGUAACACGUAUGGAACCUGCCCGCAGCAGGGGGAUAAGCGGAGAAAUUCCGUCUAAUACCGCGUAACAACGUUGGGAGGCAUCUCCCGAUGUUUAAAGAUUUAUCGGCUGCGGAUGGCCAUGCGGCGCAUUAGCUAGUCGGCGGGGUAACGGCCCACCGAGGCGACGAUGCGUAGGGGUUCUGAGAGGAAGGUCCCCCACACUGGUACUGAGACACGGACCAGACUCCUACGGAAGGCAGCAG
rnacentral:rRNA from 1 species